CGAGAAGCGCAGCGCGGGGGUCCUCCCGCUCAGACCCUCCUGUUAUAAAGGGCUGAUGGGUGGGGAUUCGCGAGGGAAUCUUUUUUCCCCUUCUCCGCCCUCUGCUUUGGGAACCCGGGAGGGGCGCUUCUGGGUAGCAGGGGAAAGGGGAGGAGACAGCUCUAGCCCGACACUCCAGCUAUCAGAUGUAAACACCCAGGCGCAGCAUGAAUUAACUGCGCGCGCCUACCAUUUUCUUUUACUGCCGCUCGAAUCCUUUCCCUUUCUCUCCGGUCCUCCAGCUCCAGGCUCGGACAAGCUGCAUUCCCGUUCUGCGUGCCUCAGCCCUCGCAGACUUCCGCGGAGCCUGGCGUGGGAGGCGGCUACUCUCCUCGGACGCGCUAAUUCCCGCGUGUGCCCGCGCCCCAGCAGAGGAGGAGCGUGGCUGUGAGUGCGCGCCGCGGGAGCCUCCCCUUGCGCUCCGCCGCUCUGCACCGGGUUCCCAGCCCGAGCCCCUCUCGCCCGGGUCCAGAGGCGACAGAUAUUCCUUGCGUCCCGUGGCGCCCAUUUGCACCAGACUCGCAAUCCCAGGUUUGGGGGAAAUCAAAGGGGCUAGAAGGGAAGAUGAGGGGACAGGGGACUCCAACCUCGAGAUUGGAUUUCUCGGAAGGCGGAGGAGGAGAUUUUGCGGACCCAGCCUGGAGAGUCAGCCGAGACCCUUGUGAAGAAAACCGUUAACUCUUUCCACGCCGAACAAACCGGAUGUUCAAAGCCUUUUGGGAUUUCCCCCAUUUAUUACUUGACUCCUAAUCAUUAUGCGCGUGCACACACGCGCACACUGCAUUGGUCUGAUCAAGAGGAAAGGAGUCUCGACGUCUUGGGGUUUUGUCUUUCUUGGAGGGGGUGUGUUUUGAGCUAAUUGACAAUUGGCUGUAUUUCAGGCAACAUUUUUUUUUUCCCUUCAUUGACUUCUGAGUACAGACUUUUAGUAGAUUUCUGAAUACUAUACGGAAGUUGCAUUCACCCUGUACACUCUGCAUGUGUAUACACACUUGUAGUACGCAUCGACCUCAUUUAUUGCCUAACUUGAAAUACGAUUCGUUCACUUUCCGAGUAGAUCAAUAUUUAAUAUGUAA